UACGGAGGGGGCUAGCGUUGUUCGGAAUUACUGGGCGUAAAGCGCACGUAGGCGGCUUUGUAAGUUAGAGGUGAAAGCCCGGGGCUCAACUCCGGAAUUGCCUUUAAGACUGCAUCGCUAGAAUUGUGGAGAGGUAAGUGGAAUUCCGAGUGUAGAGGUGAAAUUCGUAGAUAUUCGGAAGAACACCAGUGGCGAAGGCGACUCUUUGGCCUAUAACUGACGCUGAGGCGGCGAAAGCGUGGGGAGCAAACAGG
rnacentral:rRNA from 1 species